GAGACAGAGCAUUCCCAUCGGGGACAGAGUGACUGGUGGUGCAUGAUUGUCGUCAGCUCGUGUCGUGGGAUGUUGGGUUAAGUCCCGCAACGAGCGCGACCCUGGAUUAUAGUUGCCAGCAUUUAGUUGGGCACUCUAAAGUGACUGCCGGUGCAAGCGGGAGGAGGGUGAGGAGGACGGCAAAUCAUCAUGCCCCUUAUGACCUGGGCUACACACGUGCUACAAUGGAUAGAACAAAGGGUCGCGAAGCCGCGAGGAGGAGCUAAUCCCAUAAAACUAUUCUCAGUUCGGAUCGUAGGCUGCAACUCGCCUACAUGAAGCCGGAAUCGCUAGUAAUCGCGGAGCAGCAUGCCACGGCGAAUACGUUCCCGGUCAUUGA
rnacentral:rRNA from 1 species